UUCUUUGUCUUUCCUCCAGCAUGAAGUAGUGCUGACCAAAUAAUAAACAAAAAUAUGUUGUCAUCCACAGCCUCUUGCGGGAUGGAGAAGAAGUCUGACAACUUAACUUGGCUUUGCUAUCCCUCAUGGGCAAGCAUGCUUCCUUUCCUCUCUCUGAUUCAUUGCAAGAGUAAUGUGUCUUGUCCUGCUGCCAAUACCACCACAAUGGAUUACGGUGCUUCUCUGAAUAGAGAUACUGGAAAUGCAACUUCAUCUAUAUUCCAGCCAGAAGGUGGAUCUGCUUAUCUAGUAAUUUCCUCCUUUCGUCCAAUUCAAAAUCUUGCCAUGCUGUCCUGAGGUGACCUUGUGAUCAUUUCUCCAUCCCAUCCAUGCUAACUGCCUCUCCUUGCUCAAUGUAGACUUCAUAGAAAGUAAAUAUCCGAUUCAUGCAAAAUAAGUUUUGCUUUGCUGAGCAUUGAAGUCUGUCCUUGUGAUGCAGACUCUAAUUUUCCUUCAGAGAAAGUUUAUCUAUGGGGCUCAAUUUUUUGGAAAUAUCUGUACCAUCAUAUGUGUUAUUUCUUGGAGAGUAAUAUGAGUGGUGUUAAGGCAUUUGCUGUUAAAUAAGUGUUUCUUGUUUCUCAUCAGUCACAAAGAGUUUGGACAGAAACCACAAUGCUUUAAAAUAGGUGGAGCUCUGAGUUAGAUUGCUGCAGUGACUGGGACAUGUUACGGACUUCUUAAAGAGUGCACGAUAUAUAGGGAGAGUGGAAUAUAGUCUUGUUUUGAACACUAAACAAGACUGAUCCUGAGAGUUUUAUUUCCAGAAUCAGAGCUAGAAACACAGGUUGUAUUUUACCCAGAUGCAGGGUGUUUUUUGAUGGUACAGUGCUCAUUGGUUGAUUUUUUUUUUUUUUUUUUUUUUGACACACCAGUCCCUUCUGCCCCAGCCCAUAUGCCAUAUGUGUGCGUGCAUGUGUGUGUAAGCAGUCGUGUCUUGAAGCAAGAUCCCUGCUCCUUUCGAACCAAGCUCUCCUUCUAUGAUUUGAACUCAGAUGAGUUCUUUGUUAGCUGGGAAAUGUAAU
rnacentral:lncRNA from 1 species